ACUUUUUAUUUCAGGUGGUUUCCUGUUAAAGUUUAUUCAGAGGACAACAAGUAGACAUUGGUGUGCUGUCCCCAUUCUGCUUCUGUCUAAGGCUUUGGCAAACAUCCCAAGAUGUAAAACUCUGGGUAUAGAAGGCCUUCUUGCCUUCAGGAGAGAGUGUCACUGUCAGACAUCUCAACUUUUCUCAUGUCUGUGAGGCAAGAGGACCCCUUAGGACGAUGGACUUCACUGUGGACAGAGGCUCACUCACUCUGUUAGAAGUCGCCUGUAUCACAGACAC